rnacentral:rRNA from 1 species
GAUGAACGCUGGCGGCGUGCCUAAUACAUGCAAGUCGAGCGAACCACUUCGGUGGUGAGCGGCGAACGGGUGAGUAACACGUAGGUGAUCUGCCCAUCAGACGGGGACAACGAUUGGAAACGAUCGCUAAUACCGGAUAGGACGAAAGUUUAAAGGUGCUUCUGGCACCGCUGAUGGAUGAGCCUGCGGCGCAUUAGCUAGUUGGUAGGGUAAAGGCCUACCAAGGCGACGAUGCGUAGCCGACCUGAGAGGGUGAACGGCCACACUGGGACUGAGACACGGCCCAGUCUCCUACGGGAGGAAGCAGUAGGGAAUCUUCGGCAAUGGGCGAAAGCCUGACCGAGCAACGCCGCGUGAAUGAUGAAGGCCUUCGGGUUGUAAAAUUCUGUUAUAAGGGAAGAACGACUUUAGUAGGAAAUGGCUAGAGUGUGACGGUACCUUAUGAGAAAGCCACGGCUAACUACGUGCCAGCCGCCGCGGUAA